rnacentral:rRNA from 1 species
UUAGAUACCCUAUUAUACUAAUAAUUACUCAGAUUAUUAGAAGUUAUGUUCUUGAAAUUCGAAGAAUUUGGCGGUGAUUUAGUCUUGUUAGAGGAACCUGUUUUUGAAUCGAUACACCACGUAAAAUCUUACUCAUUUUAGUAAUAAAGUUUAUAUACCGUCAUUAUCAGAUGAUUUUCUAAGAAUAAAUUAUUAAGUUUUUAUCAAAAAAGUUAAAUUAGAUCAAGGUGUAGCUAAUAAAUGAGUUAAAAUGGGUUACAAUAAAAUUUAUUUAAUACGAAAUAAUUAAAGAAAGAAGAAUUAUGAAGGAGGAUUUAAUUGUAAUUAAAGUAUAAUAAGCUUUAAAGAUAUAAGCUCUAAAUCAUGUACAUAUCGCCCGUCGGCUA